AGAAUCAACGCUGGCGGCGUGCCUAACACAUGCAAGUCGAACGAGAAAGUGGAGCAAUCCAUGAGUAAAGUGGCGACCGGGUGAGUAACACGUGACUAACCUACCCUAGAGUGGGGAAUAACUUCGGGAAAACCGAGGCUAAUACCGCAUAACAUCGCAGAGGGAAGCUCUUUGCGAUCAAAGGAGUAAUUCGCUCAAGGAGGGGGUCGCGGCUGAUUAGCUAGUUGGUGAGGUAACGGCCCACCAAGGCUAAGAUCAGUAUCCGGCCUGAGAGGGCGCACGGACACACUGGAACUGAAACACGGUCCAGACUCCUACGGGAGGCAGCAGUGGGGAAUUUUGCGCAAUGGGGGAAACCCUGACGCAGCAACGCCGCGUGGAGGAUGAAGUCCCUUGGGAUGUAAACUCCUUUCGAUCGGGACGAUUAUGACGGUACCGGAAGAAGAAGCACCGGCUAACUCUGCGCCAGCACGCCGC
rnacentral:rRNA from 1 species